rnacentral:misc_RNA from 1 species
GAUGAAGAACGUAGCGAAAUGCGAUAAGUAAUGUGAAUUGCAGAAUUCAGUGUAUCAUCGAAUCUUUGAACGCACAUUGCGCCCGCCAGCAUUCUGGCGGGCAUGCCUGUUCGAGCGUCAUUUCAACCCUCGAGCCCCCCCGGGGGCCUCGGUGUUGGGGGACGGCACACCAGCCGCCCCCGAAAUGCAGUGGCGACCCCGCCGCAGCCUCCCCUGCGUAGUAGCACACACCUCGCACCGGAGCGCGGAGGCGGUCACGCCGUAAAACGCCCAACUUUCUUAGAGUUGACCUCGGAUCAGGUAGGAAUACCCGCUGAACUUAAGCAUAUCAAUAAGCGGAGGA